CCUACGGGUGGCUGCAGUGAGGAAUAUUGGUCAAUGGACGAGAGUCUGAACCAGCCAAGUCGCGUGAAGGAUGACUGCCCUCUGGGUUGUAAACUUCUUUUAUAUGGGAAUAAAAUGUUCCACGUGUGGGAUUUUGUAUGUACCAUAUGAAUAAGGAUCGGCUAACUCCGUGCCAGCAGCCGCGGUAAUACGGAGGAUCCGAGCGUUAUCCGGAUUUAUUGGGUUUAAAGGGAGCGUAGGUGGAUUGUUAAGUCAGUUGUGAAAGUUUGCGGCUCAACCGUAAAAUUGCAGUUGAAACUGGCAGUCUUGAGUACAGUAGAGGUGGGCGGAAUUCGUGGUGUAGCGGUGAAAUGCUUAGAUAUCACGAAGAACUCCGAUUGCGAAGGCAGUUCACUGGACUGCAACUGACACUGAGGCUCGAAAGUGUGGGUAUCAAACAGGAUUAGAUACCCGUGUAGUC
rnacentral:rRNA from 1 species